GCCUUCGUAGCCCAAUAGGAAGAGGCGGUCGCCUUAAGAGCGGCUAAGUGUCAGUUCGAGUCUGACCGGAGGUACCA
rnacentral:tRNA from 1 species